rnacentral:rRNA from 1 species
GACGAACGCUGGCGGCGUGCUUAACACAUGCAAGUCGAGCGGAAUGGCCCUGCUUUUGUGGGGUGCUCGAGUGGCGAACGGGUGAGUAACACGUGAGUAACCUGCCCUUGACUUUGGGAUAACUUCAGGAAACUGGGGCUAAUACCGGAUAGGAGCUCCUGCUGCAUGGUGGGGUUUGGAAAGUUUCGGCGGUUGGGGAUGGACUCGCGGCUUAUCAGCUUGUUGGUGGGGUAGUGGCUUACCAAGGCUUUGACGGGUAGCCGGCCUGAGAGGGUGACCGGCCACAUUGGGACUGAGAUACGGCCCAGACUCCUACGGGAGGCAGCAGUGGGGAAUAUUGCACAAUGGGCGGAAGCCUGAUGCAGCAACGCCGCGUGCGGGAUGACGGCCUUCGGGUUGUAAACCGCUUUCGCCUGUGACGAAGCGUGAGUGACGGUAAUGGGUAAAGAAGCACCGGCUAACUACGUG